rnacentral:rRNA from 1 species
CCUACGGGAGGCAGCAGUGAGGAAUAUUGGUCAAUGGACGAGAGUCUGAACCAGCCAAGUAGCGUGAAGGAUGACUGCCCUCUGGGUUGUAAACUUCUUUUAUAUGGGAAUAAAAUGUUCCACGUGUGGGAUUUUGUAUGUACCAUAUGACUAAGGAUCGGCUAACUCCGUGCCAGCAGCCGCGGUAAUACGGAGGAUCCGAGCGUUAUCCGGAUUUAUUGGGUUUAAAGGGAGCGUAGGUGGAUUGUUAAGUCAGUUGUGAAAGUUUGCGGCUCAACCGUAAAAUUGCAGUUGAAACUGGCAGUCUUGAGUACAGUAGAGGUGGGCGGAAUUCGUGGUGUAGCGGUGAAAUGCUUAGAUAUCACGAAGAACUCCGAUUGCGAAGGCAGCUCACUGGACUGCAACUGACACUGAGGCUCGAAAGUGUGGGUAGCAAACAGGAUUAGAUACCCGUGUAGUC